UACAGAGGUCCCAAGCGUUGUUCGGAUUCACUGGGCGUAAAGGGUGCGUAGGCGGUGAGGCAAGUCUGGUGUGAAAUCCCGGGGCUCAACCCCGGAACUGCACUGGAUACUGCUUUGCUAGAGUACUGGAGAGGGAACUGGAAUUUACGGUGUAGCAGUGAAAUGCGUAGAUAUCGUAAGGAAGACCAGCGGCGAAGGCGAGUUCCUGGACAGUUACUGACGCUGAGGCACGAAGGCCAGGGGAGCAAACGGG
rnacentral:rRNA from 1 species